rnacentral:tRNA from 1 species
UAGCUCAGUGAUAGAGCACAUGCCUGGCAUGCAUGAGGACCGGGGUUCAAUCCCCAG